rnacentral:lncRNA from 1 species
AGAGGAAAUACAGCUCGAGGAAGGCAUUUCUACAGCUUGUGCCUAAAACACAAUGCCUGGAGUAACAGCUUGAAUGUUUCUGGACUCAAGGAAUUUCAGAAGUAGACCGACAGGGAGGCAAGAUAGUUUCUCACUGCCUGUUCUAUCACCAUGGAUGGCAUUAUCUCAGCGUGGGCUACUGAACGCUGGUGAUAUCUAGGCAGAAUCCAGGAACUCAGUAAGUCGAGGAACAGAGGCCUCUCACGAGGGAAGACAGUAUCGUUUUAUACUUGUGGAAAUGGCCACAAUCCUAUUCAUCUUACAGUUAUGGAGGACAGCCAUCCACAACAGCUUUCCUGGGGUCUCCCUAUACAAUAUAUAACCUGGGCUGGCCUGGAACUCACUAGAGAGGAGCCUAGCACUGCUGCCCUCUGAGAGGCCCAACAAGCAGCUGAACAAGUCAGAUGCAGACACUUACACCCAAACAAUGGAGAGAAACUGGGGACCCCUGUGGUUGAAUUAAGGAAAGGCUGGAAAGCUGAGG